GAGAGGUAGGGCACUCGGCGAGAAGUGGGCAGUAACGAACGGCGGGGCCUUCCCGGCCCGGAGGACGGAUCCCGAAGACUCUGAAGGGAGGCUCGGAAGCUGUAUUUCAACAAUCCAAAGACAACGUCACACCUAUGUAAGGACACAAAGGUCAGGCGAGCAUCAACAAAAAGAAGUGUGGAGCCGGGUAAGCAAGAUGAGCAUUUCAGGAAGCAGCUGUGGAAGCCCUAAUUCCACAGAUAUAUCCAGUGACUUCAAGGAGCUCUGGACAAAACUAAAAGAAUAUCAUGAUAAGGAAGUACAAGGUUUACAAAUCAAAGUAACCAAACUGAAA
rnacentral:lncRNA from 1 species